rnacentral:rRNA from 1 species
UAGUCCACGCCGUAAACGAUGCUCGCUCGUUGUAGGACCCCUCGACCUGGGUUCUGUGACUAAGCUAACGCGUUAAGCGAGCCGCCUGUGCAGUACGAUCGCAAGAUUAAAACACAAAGGAAUAGACGGGGGUCCACACAAGCGGUGGAUUGCGGGGUUUAAUUCGUCAAUAAGCGAAGAACCUUACCCAGGCUUGACAUCCCUAUCAUAUCACUGAGAGAUCAGAGAGUCGGUUCGGCCGGAUAGGUGACAGGCGUUGCAUGGUUGCCGUCAGCUCGUGCCUUGAGGUGUCCGGUUAAGUCCGUGAACGAGCGCAACCCUCAUCGUAUGUUGUAUUUUCAUACGAGACUGCCAUUCACAAAAUGGAGGAAGGUGAGGACGACGUCAAAUCAGCAUGACCCUUAUGUCUGGGGCUACACCCACAAUACAAUGGCACAUACAAACCGAAGCAAUGCAGCGAUGCGGAGCAAAUCGGACAAAAAUGUGUCUCAGUUC